rnacentral:rRNA from 1 species
UGGGGAAUUUUGGACAAUGGGCGCAAGCCUGAUCCAGCAAUGCCGCGUGCAGGAUGAAGGCCUUCGGGUUGUAAACUGCUUUUGUACGGAACGAAAAGGCUCUGGUUAAUACCUGGGGCUCAUGACGGUACCGUAAGAAUAAGCACCGGCUAACUACGUGCCAGCAGCCGCGGUAAUACGUAGGGCGCAAGCGUUAAUCGGAAUUACUGGGCGUAAAGCGUGCGCAGGCGGUUAUGUAAGACAGGUGUGAAAUCCCCGGGCUUAACCUGGGAAUUGCAUUUGUGACUGCAUCGCUGGAGUGCGGCAGAGGGUGAUGGAAUUCCGCGUGUAGCAGUGAAAUGCGUAGAUAUGCGGAGGAACACCGAUGGCGAAGGCAAUCCCCUGGGCCUGCACUGACGCUCAUGCACGAAAGCGUGGGGAGCAAACA